UACGAAGGGGGCUAGCGUUGUUCGGAAUUACUGGGCGUAAAGCGCACGUAGGCGGGUGGUUAAGUCAGGGGUGAAAUCCUGGAGCUCAACUCCAGAACUGCCUUUGAUACUGGCAACCUAGAGACUGGAAGAGGUUAGUGGAAUUCCCAGUGUAGAGGUGAAAUUCGUAGAUAUUGGGAAGAACACCAGUGGCGAAGGCGGCUAACUGGUCCAGCACUGACGCUGAGGUGCGAAAGCGUGGGGAGCAAACAGG
rnacentral:rRNA from 1 species